rnacentral:rRNA from 1 species
GAUGAACGCUGGCGGCGUGCCUAAUACAUGCAAGUCGAGCGAACAGACGAGGAGCUUGCUCCUCUGACGUUAGCGGCGGACGGGUGAGUAACACGUGGAUAACCUACCUAUAAGACCGGGAUAACUUCGGGAAACCGGAGCUAAUACCGGAUAAUAUAUUGAACCGCAUGGUUCAAUAGUGAAAGACGGUUUUGCUGUCACUUAUAGAUGGAUCCGCGCCGCAUUAGCUAGUUGGUAAGGUAACGGCUUACCAAGGCAACGAUGCGUAGCCGACCUGAGAGGGUGAUCGGCCACACUGGAACUGAGACACGGUCCAGACUCCUACGGGAGGCAGCAGUAGGGAAUCUUCCGCAAUGGGCGAAAGCCUGACGGAGCAACGCCGCGUGAGUGAUGAAGGUCUUCGGAUCGUAAAACUCUGUUAUUAGGGAAGAACAAAUGUGUAAGUAACUAUGCACGUCUUGACGGUACCUAAUCAGAAAGCCACGGCUAACUACGU